rnacentral:ncRNA from 1 species
AUGGAAACAGGGGAGGAAACGGUGUAGCAAACCUUUCGAGCCUACGAACAGAAACUUGAUACAAGGCUAAAUGGUGGAUAAGGUUGCACAACAAACCGAAGUCCAAAAGGUAAACGUAAAACCAAAGCAGUAAAUCAAGAGGUUGUGGAGGGAAAGAUUA